rnacentral:lncRNA from 1 species
GUUGCCCCAGUGACCCAUACUGAAUGGAGGGCAUUACCCACAUCUUAGCCAUCCUGGUUAGCUCCCCCAUGCUCUGGGUCUGCAGCUCAUGGCCAGAGACAGUGCACCAUCAUAAUAAAAGUCUUAAAUGAUGAGUUCCAGUGGCAGAUGCCUUACUGUGCUUGGUUCAGAGACAGCAGGGAACCCUGGUGCAGAGGCAGCCUGCUGCAUUAACUUAAACUAUGACAUCUUUAGCUCUGAUAGCCGAGGCAGCUGAAUCUGACACAAAACAUCCACCUGGGACCAUUCCCCAUUGAUGGAGUCCAGAAAGAUGAACAUCUAUGGUGGUUCCCUGCAGGUUCAUCCAGAAAGGCAUUGCUGUACUCUCAAAUACAACCUGGAACACUCAAAAACCACCUAGGACAAGACAAGCCUGUCUGGCAGGGAAGGCGUCUUCCAGUGAGGAAAUUAGAGUAAGGAAAGCUUUCAUUAUGAAACUACAUCAAAACUUUUCCUUAGGACAGAGGACGAGGUUGUCCUUCCCAGUAUAAACCAGCAAAAUCCUUUCAGUUAUGAUGCAAAUGCAGCUUUACUCUGGCUUCUCAAGAAAGCCGGUUUCAACCAACUUUAUCAUAGCUCAAAACAAAUGAAGAAGAAUAUCUGGGAACUGAAAAGCCACCUCAUUUGUAUGGCUUUUAUUGCUCCCUGUUGCAGCAUUCCUAACAAGGGUAGGGAGGUGUAACAGUCUGUUGCUGGAGACAGAGCACAGGGGCAGACACAGCUUUUGUCUGGUCUCUGUGCAUUCUUACGUCUCUGUGGAAAUGGGUGUCUCCUGGAAAUAUGGAGAUCUGUUGAGUUUCUGCUCCUGCCCAGCCCACAAUCUCCUGGUUGAGGAAUUCAGCCCCAGUUCCAUAAUCUCCAGGAUGUUAGAAUUUCAAUUCCACACUACAAGAACAACUUAUGUUUUGAGUGGUCCCUGUUCUGCAGAUGGAGCACGUGUUCAGAGGGAAGCAGUUUGCCAAGCUCAAAGGCCAGGCCAGCAAAGCAGCCCAAGAGAGCCCCAGAUUCCUGAUUGAUUAGACCCAUGCUGGAGUUGUUGGACAGCAAUGCCCACCUCUCCCCUGUCUCCUAAAGUUCUCAACCCUUUCUAGAAGUAGGGAAAGAUUAUACAAUACUGCAUGGAAGGAAAAGGCUCAUAGGAAAGAAUCUAAAGCAAAUGCAUCAGGGAUAUUUAAAAAAAAAAAAAAAGAAAGAAAGAAAAAAUGUAAAAAAAAAAAAAUUAAAGGCUAGAAUAACUCAAGACAGGAAAAAAAACUCUUCCUGUUCUUGUUGAAGCUCUUCUUAACUUCUCCCUCCUCUCCACCAGCUGCAGUCCUGAGUAAUGAAUGCCUGCC